rnacentral:lncRNA from 1 species
GUUAUCAGUCAUCUAAUAUUUUUUGGGCUUUAUAUUAGUUGAAAUGAAAUUAAUUUUUAUACGCUAUGUAUGAAUACAAACAUUCAAAGAUUUAUUACAGAGCCAACAUGUACUUUCAGUCCUCUUGUGUAUUUGGAAUUUAUGUAUUUUCUUAUGGAAAUAACCAUUUACUCACCAUUUAUGUACAAUAAAUGGAACAGCUGUUAGCAUUUUUACGAAGAAUUUAUGAAUAUAUUAUUAAAAAGACACAUUCUAUCAAAAUUCUAAUGCACAGGCCCUGAUACUGUCUUAUCAUGAGAGAUUAUAUCAAACAGUUUGGUUUAUUUUAUUAACCAAUUAAAAAUAUAUAUCCCAAGAAGUAAUGGAAUAUAGAAGAAAAGAUACAAAGUUUUAUUAUAUGACUCCAAGAUUCAAAUAGGAAAAACAAAAAAUCUGGAAAAAUCUAUGUUGGUAUAAUAUGAUGGUUUUCUUUUUCCAACAAAAUAAGGAGGGAAAAAUCAAUAAUUAAAGUUGACAUUUAGUUAGCAAAGAGAAAACUAUAAGCAAGAAAUUGUUUUUAUUGCUUUGUCUAAUUUUAUGAUGUGGGAACUAAGGUCACAUGUUGUCUAUUUAUAACUUUUUUAUUUACAUUUUCAUCAUUUGCUGCUGUUGAAUUGUUUUCUGCUUUCAUUUUUGUGCUUGAAUUUUUUAUUCAUUUAUUUCACAUUAUAAGACAAGUCUUCACAUAUCAUAACUAUAAAAGAGUCUCAAAUCAGUCAAUUUUCAUAUCAUUAAAUGUUUAGAUUUCAUUUCAAAGUUAUAUAAUUUUGAAAUGAAAGUAUUAAUUGGCAGAGUUGCUUCAUCUUGUAGGGAAUAAGGAAGUAUAAAAUUAAUAAGAUUGAGGGGAUGGGUCAUCCCAAAUUCCAGAUGAUAAAGUAUUGUUACCUGGAUUCUGAAAAAUUAAUCAUUACUUCCCGAGUUCGAUAGGUGUAAAUCCUGAAUUCUCACAAAAAUAAAAGUCAAUCUCGACAACCAAAAUGUCAUCCUGCUUUUUAAGAUUGACAGCUACCUCUACAAUUCCGUUCCAAAAACCUUAUAUUAAAAGGGAUCCUACAUCCUAGCUAUAGUCAUCUAUUGUCAAUUUUGUUACAAUGUCCUAAAUAACAUCCCGGUGUAGAACAUUUUUUUUUAAUUUAAAGUAGAUUUAUGGAAGCUAUAACCAGAUUCAACCUAUGGCUGUAACAUUUAAAGUCAUAAGUGAUAAGACUUUAAGGAAGAAACUGCUUAUUUUUUUUUUAUCAUAGAAUAAAUUUCACACUUGUUGGUUUCUGUGUGCAUCCAACCAUUCAUCCAAUUUCAAAGUGCUUUUCCUAAGUAUUAUGUACUGGGCAAUCAGACAACCCUUAUUAUAUAAUGUUUCUAAGGCAGCCUUAUUUGUUAUAUAUCAGUAACUUUUAGUAGUUUUGUGUAUCAUUUACAUUCUAUGGAUAAAUGAAUUGUACUGGAUUGUAUGUAUGUUUUUUAUUGACUGAAAUCUCCGAUUGUGUUAUGAUCCUUAGUUUAUAAAUCUUUUUAAAGGAUUAGGUAUGACUAUUUGACACCUGUUUUUCCUCUUUUAGUGAUUUUAUAACAAAAUUACCCAACUAGAUAUACACGUCUUAUAAGCACCAAUAGGAGGCAUGAGAAUAGAUUGUAGAAUAUUUCAGUCUCUAUAGCUAGUUAUGUCCCUUUAUUACGUUUUCUGCAAGCAGGGUCAUCAUCUGUAUACAAUGAAAACAUUCUCCAUUUAUUUGAAUAUCAAUUUGAUUGGUCAAUCAAUUAAUAAAGAAAGGUAAAAAAGUUACUAUAUAUUUUAUCAAAAUUUGCAUGGAAGUUUUGUAUUUGAUCUGAAAACUUUUUUCAAAGAGGCAUUAUAGUUGCAUGAAAUUAUUUUAUUAAAUGCUUGUAUAUUUCUAGAUUAUCUCCUGAAUGAAUUUCAUAUCUGAUUAGAAUAAUUGUAAGAUUAUAUAUUUGUAUAUAUAUGUGAAUCAACAUAAUUUAUUACCAUAGUGUUCAUGUAUAUAAAAUACUCCACAAAACACACACUGUAAAUUCAGAAUGAAAAUGAUGUCAUAUAUUUUUGCAAAUCUUUUGCUACAGACAAUAUUUUGAAAGAAGUUAUUGCCAAACCUUGACAUGCUGAGUUCUAGAAAAAUAUUAUUACCAACAAUCAGAUUUCAAGCUUUGUAGUUAUGUCACAUAACUCCUGAAUUUACAGUUAAUUUCAUUUGAGUAUCUGCUGAUGUUGUGUUAAUGUUUGUGGAUUUUAUAGCACCAAGAAAAACUGUAGACUUGUCAAAUAUAAAUUUAAUAAAGAUUUUAUAGGAGUUAGAGAAAUUGUUAAGUAUUUUAUAACCAAAGUAGAAAAUUAAGGCCCCAUAAGUGUAAAUGUUCAUAUUUUGUAUUUGAUUUCAUAAAACAAUCACUUCAAUGACCCUUAUGUUUUUAUAGUUGUCAAAGAGAUUAAUAUCAGACCUAUUGGUUUAUAUGACUUAUAUGUAUGAGAAUGUGGAAACAUCAGAUUCAUCAAAUCAGAUUUAAUUUAACCUGUCAACAUUGUGAUCGUCUCUGCAUGCAGCAUUGAUACAAACAUAGGGACAUAAAAAUUUGACAAAUUAGAUACCGUAAAAUAUUCUAAACAUUACUCCAAUUGAUUGACUGUCACAUUGAUUAUGAAAUUCACUUUUGAUUUAAAUGCUACUGAAGAGGUGAAAAUAAAUUUAUUAAAUUUAGUAUAAUUUACCAAAGGAAGAAUUUAAACUUUAUAUGGAAAAAAUCUGUAUUACUGUCCGUCCAGUCAAAUUGAAAUCUCUGAAUUAUUUUGUAUCUCAUUAUUCUCAUUUCCCUUGAAAAGGACACAAAAUUAAAAAAAAUAUGAUCAUGUGUACAAACUUUUCUCUAUACAAGGAUAUAACAAUGCUUAUAUAACUCUUAUUUUUUGAAGAAAAUGCAUUUGCUCACAAUUUACUAACUCUAGAGCCUUUGGCCCAUGUGUUUAUAUUUGCAACAGCCCAAGGUGAAACAUUGACACCUGGUCUGAGUUUUUAUCAGAUUGAAAAAUUACUCAUAAGUUGAGAUUUUUUUUUCUAUUCAAAUUAAUCCCACUAAUCAUUUCUGUAUAGAGUUAUCACUUAUGCACUCAAAAUUCAUUAAAUCUGAAAACUAAGGUAUAUUGUACUCAUGCCCGACCUAAGAUAGUAGAGGGGCAUUAUGUUUUUGAUUUGUGUGUAUUUGUGCGUCCAUCUGUGUGUGUGUCAGACAUUUUUUGAAGAAGUUGAAUUCCAAUCAGCUUGAAACUUAUUACAUAUGUACCUGUAAUAUGAUCUUUCUAAUUAUGAUGCAAAAUUAUAGUUUUGACUCCAAAUUUACGGUCCAUUGAACAUAGAAAAUUAUAGUGCAAGUGGGGCAUCCAUUUACUAUGGAGACCUUCUUGUUUCAAUAAUGAGUUGUUAGAUUAUUUAGUAAUACAUUAAUUUAAAAAGAUAUUUAUAAUAGUACAAAGGCAUAGACAUGCAAUGGUGUUUAAUUAUAAACAGAGGGAAAUACUUUAAAACUUGAAUAAGCUUAUUGAAGUGAUAUCAAAUUUAACAGCUUUUACCAAAAGCAAGUUUUUCCAUAAUAAAAUGUACCAAAGAAUGUGUUUUCAUAGGUUAAAAAAUCCAUUGCUUUAAUCAUUUUAUACCAAGUUUCAAUUGUUUCAUUCUGUCAAUGCAUGUUGCAAGUUUUUCUUAUCCUGUGAAUAGUAUUGUUUUAAUGAGGUUUGUCUUAUAAAAUUGAUUCUUUUUUGUUCAGGUUGAGAGUUGUCUUUCAUUUUACAGAGUGCUAACCAUGAUAUAUGAAUCUAUUAGAUAAAGUUUUAAUGGUUUAUUAGUCAGACACACAAAUACAACUAGUUUUUGAUUACAUUAAACCACAAUUAUCUGAUAAUCGUACCAAAAUUAUUGAGUGUUUUUUAAUGGCCAAGCUUAAAACUAGAUGCUAUUUUUUUAGAAAUUCCUAAAAUAGUGAAAUUGAACCUUACCUUUAGAGUUAUUCUGUGUGCUGUGUGUUUCAAUAACAAGAUAAUUUAUUUGAAUGAUAAUUUCUGUUCCUAAUAUGUUAAUUGUUGAUACAAUAUUUGUUGUGUAAACUUUUGAAUACAUGAUGUGAGUCAAUUAUAUAUCUGUAUCAAUAAAACUUGAUAACAAU